rnacentral:tRNA from 1 species
GUGAGAGUAGCUCAGCUGGUUAGAGCAUUGGAUUGUGGUUCCAAGGGUCAUGGGUUCGAAUCCCAUCUCUCACC